rnacentral:rRNA from 1 species
AACGAACGCUGGCGGCAGGCUUAACACAUGCAAGUCGAGCGCCCCGCAAGGGGAGCGGCAGACGGGUGAGUAACGCGUGGGAAUCUACCCACCACUACGGAACAACUCCGGGAAACUGGAGCUAAUACCGUAUACGUCCUUCGGGAGAAAGAUUUAUCGGUGAUGGAUGAGCCCGCGUUGGAUUAGCUAGUUGGUGGGGUAAUGGCCCACCAAGGCGACGAUUCAUAGCUGGUCUGAGAGGAUGAUCAGCCACACUGGGACUGAGACACGGCCCAGACUCCUACGGGAGGCAGCAGUGGGGAAUAUUGGACAAUGGGCGCAAGCCUGAUCCAGCCAUGCCGCGUGAGUGAUGAAGGCCCUAGGGUUGUAAAGCUCUUUCACCGGUGAAGAUAAUGACGGUAACCGGAGAAGAAGCCCCGGCUAACUUCGUGCCAGCCGCCGCAGUAA